rnacentral:rRNA from 1 species
GACGAACGCUGGCGGCGUGCCUAAUACAUGCAAGUUGAGCGCUGAAGGUUGGUACUUGUACCAACUGGAUGAGCAGCGAACGGGUGAGUAACGCGUGGGGAAUCUGCCUUUGAGCGGGGGACAACAUUUGGAAACGAAUGCUAAUACCGCAUAAAAACUUUAAACACAAGUUUUAAGUUUGAAAGAUGCAAUUGCAUCACUCAAAGAUGAUCCCGCGUUGUAUUAGCUAGUUGGUGAGGUAAAGGCCCACCAAGGCGAUGAUACAUAGCCGACCUGAGAGGGUGGUCGGCCACAUUGGGACUGAGACACGGCCCAAACUCCUACGGGGGGCAGCAGUAGGGAAUCUUCGGCAAUGGACGAAAGUCUGACCGAGCAACGCCGCGUGAGUGAAGAAGGUUUUCGGAUCGUAAAACUCUGUUGGUAGAGAAGAACGUUGGUGAGAGUGGAAAGCUCAUCAAGUGACGGUAACUACCCAGAAAGGGACGGCUAACUACGUG